UACGGGGGGGGCAAGCGUUGUUCGGAAUUACUGGGCGUAAAGGGCUCGUAGGUGGCCAACUAAGUCAGACGUGAAAUCCCUCAGCUUAACUGGGGAACUGCGUCUGAUACUGGAUGGCUUGAGUUUGGGAGAGGGAUGCGGAAUUCCAGGUGUAGCGGUUAAAUGCGUAGAUAUCUGGAGGAACACCGGUGGCGAAGGCGGCAUCCUGGACCAACACUGACACUGAUGAGCGAAAGCCAGGGGAGCAAACGGG
rnacentral:rRNA from 1 species